rnacentral:rRNA from 1 species
CCUACGGGAGGCAGCAGUGGGGAAUAUUGCACAAUGGGCGCAAGCCUGAUGCAGCCAUGCCGCGUGUGUGAAGAAGGCCUUCGGGUUGUAAAGCACUUUCAGCGGGGAGGAAGGCGUUAAGGUUAAUAACCUUGUCGAUUGACGUUACCCGCAGAAGAAGCACCGGCUAACUCCGUGCCAGCAGCCGCGGUAAUACGGAGGGUGCAAGCGUUAAUCGGAAUUACUGGGCGUAAAGCGCACGCAGGCGGUCUGUCAAGUCGGAUGUGAAAUCCACGGGCUCAACCUGGGAACUGCAUUCGAAACUGGCAGGCUAGAGUCUUGUAGAGGGGGGUAGAAUUCCAGGUGGAGCGGUGAAAUGCGUAGAGAUCUGGAGGAAUACCGGUGGCGAAGGCGGCCCCCUGGACAAAGACUGACGCUCAGGUGCGAAAGCGUGGGGAGCAAACAGGAUUAGAUACCCUAGUAGUC